UACGUAGGUCGCAAGCGUUGUCCGGAUUUACUGGGCGUAAAGAGCGCGCAGGCGGCUGGUCAAGUCCGAUGUGAAAUCUCCCGGCUCAACUGGGAAACUGCAUCGGAAACUGAUCGGCUUGAAGAUGGGAGAGGGUAGUGGAAUUCCCGGUGUAGUGGUGAAAUGCGUAGAUAUCUGGAGGAACACCGGUGGCGAAGGCGGCAUCCUGGACCGGCAUUGACGCUGAGGCGCGAAAGCCAGGGGAGCAAACGGG
rnacentral:rRNA from 1 species